GAUGAACGCUAGCGGCAGGCUUAACACAUGCAAGUCGAGGGGCAACACGGGUAGCAAUACCUGGUGGCGACCGGCGCAAGGGUGCGUAACGCGUGAGCAACAUGCCCUAUACAGGGGGAUAAUCCAGGGAAACUUGGUCUAAUAUCCCAUAGUAUUUAGAGGUGGCAUCACCACUAAAUUAAAGCUUCGGUGGUAUAGGAUUGGCUCGCGUGACAUUAGCUGGAUGGUGGGGUAACGGCUCACCAUGGCGAUGAUGUCUAGGGGUUCUGAGAGGAAGACCCCCCACACUGGGACUGAGACACGGCCCAGACUCCUACGGGAGGCAGCAGUGAGGAAUAUUGGACAAUGGAUGGAAAUCUGAUCCAGCCAUGCCGCGUGCAGGAAGACGGCCCUAUGGGUUGUAAACUGUCUUUUAUAGUGGGAGCAAUAAGGUUUACGCGUAGACCGAUGAGAGUACCAUAUGAAUAAGCAUCGGCUAACUCCGUG
rnacentral:rRNA from 1 species